AUUCCAAUGGUCACUAGGUGGCGCCCUAAAAGAACGAAAAAUUUAUUGCUUCCGGUAUUCUCAUUCUCAUGCUUUUCACAAUCUUGCCGGUAUUCCAUUUCGAAAGGAGCUUUUUACAUCAACCAUCAGACCAAUAUUAAUAUUUGCUGAAUGUAAUAAUUGUUUAAGGAGUUACUUGUAUUAUAUAGUGAUUAGUUGAUAUUUUGAUACAGAAGACAACCACCUUCUUAUUUUGUUUUCAAAUUUGGUAUAAUUGUUCAGAUUUAAAUGGUGAACAUGUAAUUAAAGAGCCAGUCAAGAGGAGUUUAACAGUUUUUUCCUAUUGAUUUGCUGAUAACAGAGGUCUAUCGAAGAAAGAUUUUGGUGUUUUCUUCAUUUUGAUAGAGGGUGUUUAAAUUGAGCCAGACAAUUACAUUUUGAAGCUCUAGUACAGCUAUUUGACAGACAUAUUAGCUACUGGGACAGUAUUCUACCAGAAAACACAGGGGAAGUAUACUGUUUGGAACUGUCAGAAAUAUUGGAAGAUAUAGAUGAUGGAACAUUUAGUUUUGAUGAUAAUAAACAGUCUUAAAAUUUAAAGCUUUGAUUAUUUUGAAACAGACUAUAACAGUGUUAGGUAAGUAAUGCAGUUAGAGUUACCUCUCUUUACUUACAAAAUUUGUAUAAAUUAGCUGGAGUUACUU